UUUUUUCCCCCACUGUUCUCCUGCUCCAUCAGGGACUCUCUGUUGUGUUCCUUGUCAGGGCAGUCAUUGGUCGUAGCCUGGCACCAUCUAGUUUUUCUGGUCUCAGGUUAAUGCAGUCUCUGGUUUAUGUGACCCUUUCUGUCUCUUGGGCUCAUAAUUACCUUGUGCCUUUGGUGUUCUUCAUUCUCCUUUGCUCCAGGUGGGUUGAGACCAAUUGAUGCACCUUAGAUGGCCGCUUGCUAGCGUUUAAGACCCCAGACGCCACUCUCCAAAGCGGGAUGCAGUAUGUUUCCUUAAUAGAUUUUGUUAUGCCAAUUGACCUAGAUGUACUCAGGGGACAUUUCUGGCUUACAGUUUAAAGAUUAUCUCAGGGCAAUAGCUUUAGGGGCUUAUCCACCCUCCCUGGCUCCAGAAAGUCUGAAGUCCAAGAGAAUUUGAGAUUCUGUUCUGCAUUUUCUCCCUUUUAAUUACGAUUCUUCUGUAGAGUCUUUGACCAAAAUGUUCAGUAAUGGUAGUAGUACAGCACCAUUCAGUUCUUCUGGCCUCAUGGCAAAGAAGGCAUUUGCUCAUGGCGACAAUUAACUACACAUUCUAUUUCCUCCUCCUAUUCCUGACUCUCCUUCUUCCUCUUAGAAAUAUUUUUGAUUUAGUGGUGGGGAAAGAAAGCUGAGAAGUGAUCUAACUUUCACAGAGAUCCUUUUCACAUAAAAAGAUAAUAGAUACAUUUUUGAGAAAUUAUGGAGAGAUGGGAACAUUUCCGAAUUAUUUACAUAGCAUUUUCAGAGAUCCCUUAUCUUCUGAUUUCAACUGAGUUUCUCUACUUCAUCCUUAACCUUUAACCCAAGCUUCUUUUGUUUUUUAAAAAAUCUGAACAUACACUCUCCAAUUUAUUUGUGAACAUUUAAAUCCCACCUCUGACAUUACUAGCUGUAAGACUUUGGAUAAGUUUCUUAACCUUCCUAAGCAUCAGUUUACUUAUCUAUAAAAUGGGGAUAACAAUAGUACUUAUUCCACAGUAUGUGUGGCAUAUAAAUAUUCAACAAAUAUUAGUUAAUAGUUAUUCUUAAUUACUUACAGUUACUUAUAAGUGAAGGAUUUAUGGAGCAGAUAAGAGUCAUUAGGUACCAGAAUGGGUUACCAAUGGGUAAUUGUGAAAUUAAUUUCCCUUUCAGUCUGUUAAGAUCAAAAUGGAAAAAUACUUCUUUGGUGGUUGUAUAAAGUUCUCCUCCCUUCUCAUUCUCUGCUAAUGAUUCUGCUUAUUUCAAAGAAAGUAGAAGGAGUCAGAAAAGAACUUUCAAAUGCUCACACUGCAUCUGCAACUUACCUUCAUUUGCUCUCAUAUGCUUUGUCUUCUCAUCUAAACUAAAACUCAGCCUAUUCAUUCCAGCAAAUGUCCCUUCCUCCACCUGAAUCAUUUUUGCCUUGCUAUUGGAUCAUUUUCAUCAGUAUACAAAUAUGUUAUUUCUCCCAUCAAUAAUAACAAAAAACAAAACAUCUUGUCUUGACUCCAACUUGUCUUUCCAGCUACUGCCCCAUUUCUCUGCUCCACUUUACAGCAAAAUUCCCAUGAAAAAGAUGUCUAUUCAAUAUCUUCAAUUCCUCGUCUCUAACUCUCUUGAACAGACUCCUAAGAUUUUCACCUACUUCUUCACUGACACAACUAGUUGAGGUUGUCAAUGACCUCCAUGUUGCCAAAUUCAAUAAUGAAUUCUCUGUCUUCAUUUUCCUCAGCCCAUAACAAGCAGCCUUCCUUUCCGAAAUAUUUUCUUUCCCUGAUUUCCACAGUACUACUCUCACCAGGAGCCCUGGAGGUAUAGUGGUUAAGAGCUCAGCUACUAAUCAAAAGGUUGGCAGUUCAAAUCCACCAGCGCUCCUUAGAAACCCUAUAUGGGGCAGUUCUGCUCUUGUCCUAUAGGGUCGCAAUGAAUUGGAACCUUCUUGAUGGCACCGGACAACAACAACAACUCUCUCUUGGUUUAAACUCCUGCCUUACUGAAUGUUCCUUCUCAGUCCAGGGCCUGGAACAGGUUGUUCUGGUUCAAACCUCUGCUGAGAAUUUGCAUUUCUAACAAGUUCCCUGCUGAGAAUUUGCAUUUCCAUCCCACACAUACUGCAAUCAAAAUCUGUAUUUUAAUAUGAUCCAUAGGUGAUUCUUAUAACUUCCUGGGAACUCCUUAGAAAUGCAGAUUUUCAGCAGGGGUUCAAACUAGAAGUUUAAAGCCCUGUCUUAGUCCCUCCUGCUGAGUUCUACUCAUCUCCACCACCUCCAAAUGCUGGAAUGCCCAGGGUUCAGUUCUCUUUUCUUCUCUAUCUAUGCUCACAUAUGAGGUGAUUUCUAUCAAUCUCAUGGUUUUAAACACAAUCUAUUAAAAAAAAAAAAAUUUUUUUUUUUUUUUUUAUAUGCUGACAACUCCCCAAUUUAUACCUCCAGCCUGGCUUACUCCCUUGAAUGCCGACUCACAUACCAAACUGCCUACUCAAUAACUCCGACUAAAUGUCUAAAAAGCCUACGAAACUUAACGUGUUGAAAUCCAAAACUCUAGAAUGCUUCUGAUCCGGUCUCAAACCUGCUAGUCUUUCAGUCUCUUCUAUCUCAGUUAAUGGCAAUUCCAUUAUUCUAGUUGUUUAGACCAUAAAUCUUGGACGUCUUUUUACUCUUCACUUUCUCUCACACCCCACACCCAAUCCUUAAGUAAAUUCUACCAAUCCUACUUUCAAAAUAUGUCUGUAAUUCAGCCACUCCUCACUAUCUGUACUGCUACUAUCCUGGUCUAAACCUUCACCAUUUUGACCUGGAUUAUUGCUAUAAAACCCACUGCUGUCAGGUUGAUUCUGACUCACAGCAAUCCUAAGGGACAGGGGAGAACUGCCCCAUAGGGUUUCCAAGGCAGUAAAUCUUUGUAGAGGUAGACUGCCACAUUUUUCUCCUGUAGAGCAGCCAGUAGGUUUGAACUGCCAAACUUUUGGUUAGCUGAGUGCUUUACUGCUAUGGUGUAACUGAUUACCUGGUUUCAUCUUUGUCCCACUAAUCUAAACACAGCAGCUAGAGUGAGUGCUUUAAUGCUUAAGUCAGAUCAUGUCCCUCCCUCUGCUUAAAAUCUUUUCAUGGCUUCUCAUCUUACUCAGUAAAAACCAAAGUCCUUUAAUAAGGACCUACAUGAUUUGGCUACCUCUCCCCUCUACCUCUUGCCUCUUAUCACGCUCCUCCUCACUCACUCUGCUCUGGUUAGAGUUGCCUCUUUGCAUUCCCCCUAAAUGUCAAAUGCGCUCCUUGCACCUGCUAUUCCCUUAGAUGACUACAUGGUUCUCUCUCCUAUUUCAUUCAGGUCCCUGUUCAAACAGCAUCUCAUCAAGGAAGCCUACCCUGACACCCUGUAAAACAGUUCUAUCACAAAGCCUAGCACAGAGUAGGCCCACAAGAAGUAUUCAACUGUGUAAGUAAAUUUCCUAGAUAACUGUUGCUCCUUGGACGCAAAAUAUUAAAAAUAUUGAAAGAAAUGUUUCUAAAAUGUAAGUCAGAUUUUCUGAAUGAUACAACUAUUAUUUAACUCUCAGUGACUUGGGUCAUCAUCAUGAAUAAGUCAGUUAUUCUGUCAUGCUAUCUAUCAUACACGGCACUACUGAGGGUUCCCGGGCCAUUUAUCCCUAUAGUCCUUUUUAAAUGGUUAUCAACUAUUAUACUUAAACACCUAAGCUCUGCAUUUGCACGUUUCUUUCAAUCGUCUUAAAAUAAUUAUUUAUCAGUGUUUCAUGUUACUGCCAAUGAAUCUGCCUUAAAGUACCUCAUUCUAGUUUAAAGCACACAUAUAUUGGAGGACCGUGUACAUUAGAAGGAAUCGGUCCACACAAGGCCUUUUUCUAUCUGAAAGUACGGGAGCAUCUGUAAAUGGACUUCAUGAUCUCUGUUUAGACUCCUUUUGCUCUCUGCUGGAUUCCAGCUUAAUUUUCCUUUGAUAUAGAUCGUUUUUGUCUUUUUCUACAAUCUGCUAAAAUGGUAGGAAAGUUGUAUUAGUGUCUAGCCCUCAAGUUUUUUGAUACUAUUCUUCCCCAAUUCACAAAAGGCAUUGAACUAUUCCAUCUUUCAUUUUUAGGGUCUUUCAAAAGAUUUGGGUCUUUUUUAACAGUGGUAGAAUGAUUUGGAAAAGGAUAGCAAGAAUGAUCGUUCAACUUCAAGAAUGUAAUCAAUGUCACUGAAUUCUACCUACAGAAAUGGUUGAGGUGUAUGUUUUGUUAUAUAUAUUUUUACCAUAAUUAAAAACAACCAAAGAACAGAAUGAUGUGGAACUCGUUUUUUCCCCUUAAGGACUCCAUGACACCAUAACUUUAAAUUUUUACUACUCUGUUAUCAAGUGGAUUUUCCUUUUAAAUUCAAUUUCCUAGAAUUCCUGGCCAUGGAGAGUAGCCAAGUAACUGUUAAACCCAAACAGAUGAUAAUACACAUUUAUUUUGGAAUCUGAAAAAAUAUCUGACAUUUAAAAUGUUACUUAUACUUAAAUAAGUGUGUGUGAAAUUAGGAAUUCAAAAGGGUUCAAGGCAAAUCAUAAAGCCAUACUAUGAAGCUGUGGGAGCCCUCGUGGCACGAUGGUUAAGUGCUCAGCUACUAACAGAAAGGUCAGUGGUUCGAAUCUAGCCAGUGGCUCUGUGGAAGAAAAGACCUGGCAAUCUGCUCCCAUAAAGAUAUCAGCCUAGGAAACCCUAUGGGACAGUUCUACUCUGUCCUACAGAGUCACUAUGAGUUAGAACCAACUCGACUGCACGCAACAACAACACAACAUGAAGCUGUGACUGCCACUGGGUUCAACUCUUCCUGAAAGCUCACUCCAUGCUGGGAAUAUACAGCAUUAACUCUCUGCCUGUUGUAAAAAUACCACACAAUCCUUUACCCUUUUCAUAAAAACUUUCUCUGGAAGAGGUAUGUAAACAUUAUUUUAACCAGAGCUUCCCCGAUGGGAUGCACAUUGUAUGUCAAACUGAACUAAAUACAAAGAAUAAGCACUACCAACAAGGAUUAAAACCUUGUUCUUAGUUGAGAAGAUUAGUAAUUAAAGGUGAAAAAGGUAAAAAACUAACCAAAAGCAAAAUUUACCACAGAUAAAUGAGGAUAUUCAUUCUCAGUGACUACGGUCAAUUAAAACUUUGUCUGUCUUACCAGUCGUAUAUCGUUCUGGUUCACCGUUCCUGUCAUUUAGCUCUCCUUUCUUGCUUUUAUACUGAACAUGUCAGUUAACAUCUGAUUUUUCAUAAAGUCCACAUGUUAUCUGCCUCUCCACCCUACUCUUACUCCACACAUAAAUAUGUAAUUAAGGGAAGUGAGCAAGUGUCUUGGGUGUUUGGUGACGUCUGAAUAAACAAAGCUUUAAAAGAAGAAACUAAUCUUUGAAUCAACCACUUGUCUGUCAGUUUGUCAUACUAUGGUAGCUUGAAUGUUGCUGUGAUGCUGGAAGCUAUGCCACCAGUAUUUCAAAUGGUAUCAGGGUCACCCUGGUGGACAGGUUUCAGCAGAGCUUCUAGACUAAGACAGACUAGGAAGAAGGACCUAGCGAUCUACCUCUAAAAAACAGACUGGUGAAAACCUUAAGAAUAGCAGUGGAACUUCAUCUGAUAUAGUGCCCAAUGAUGAGCCUCUCAGGUUGGAAGGCGCUCAAAAUACAACAGAAAAAAGUAGAAAGGAUCUUAAUGACAUGGAUGGAGUCAAGCUUUUGGGACUGUCAUUUGCUGAUGUGGCGACUCAAAAAGAGAAGAAACAGCUGCAAACAUCCAUUAGUAACUGGCAUGUGGAACGUACAAAGUAUGACCUUAGGAAAAUUAGAAGCUGUCAAAAAUAAAAUGGGACGCUUGAAGAUUGAUAUCCUAGGCACUAGUGAGCUGAAAUGGACUGGUGCUGGCCAUUUUGAAUCAGAUAAUCAUAUGGUCUACUAAGCUGGGAAUGAGAAAUUGAAGAGUAAGAGUACUGCAUUUACUGUCAAAAAGAACAUUUCAAGAUCCAUCCUGAAGUACAAUGCUGUUGGUAAUAGGAUAAUAUCCAUAUGCCUACAAGAAAGACCAGUUAAUACGACUAUUAUUCAAAUUUAUGCACCAACCACUAAUGCCAAAGAUGAAGAAAUUAAAGAUUUUUACCAACUUCUGCAGCUAGAAAUUGAUCAAACAUGCCAUCAAGACAGACUGAUAAUUACUGGUGAUUGGAAUGAAAAAGUUGGAAAUGAAGAAGGAUCAGUAUUUGGAAAACAUGGUGACAGAAAUGUCGCUAGAAAUCAGAUGGCAAAUUUUGUGAGACCAAUGACCCAUUUACUGGAAAUACCUUUUGUCAACAUGAAUGGCGACUGUACACAUGGACUUCACCAGAUGAAAUACACAGGAAUCAAAUCGACUACAUUUGUGGAAAGACAAUGGAGAAGCUCAAUAUCAUCAGUCAGAACAAGGCCAAGAGCCAACUAUAGAACAAUCAAUCACUAAUAUGCAAGUUCAAGUUGAAGCUGAAGAAAAGUAAAACAAAUUUACCAGAGCCAAAGUACAACCUUGAGUAUAUCCCAUCUGAAUUUAGAGACCAUUUCAAGAAUAGAUUUGACUCACUGAACACUAAUGACCGAAGAAGACCAGAUGAGUUGUGGGAUAGACAUCAAGGAUAUCAUACAUGAAAAAGCAAAAGGGUAUUAAAAGACAGAAAGAAAAGACCAAAAUGGACGUCAGAAGAGACUCUCAAACUUGCCUUGAAGAUAGUACAGCUAAAGCCAAUGGAAGAAAUGAUGAAGUAAAAGAGCUGAACGGAAGAUUUCAAAGGGCGGCUCAGGAAGACAAAGUAUUAUAAUGAAAUGUGUAAAGACAUGGAAUUAGAAAAACCAAAAGGGAAGAACACACUUGGCAUUUCUCAAGGUGAAAGAAAUAAAGAAAAAAUUCAAGCCUCGGGUUGCAAAAGUGAAGUAUUCUAUAGGCAAAAGUAUUGAAUGAUGCAGGAAGCAUCAAAAGAAGAAGAAAGGAAUACACAGAAUCACUGUACCAAAAAGAACUGGUAGACGCUGAACCAUUUCAGGAGGUGGCAUACGAUCAGAAAGGAACUGAUGGUAUUGAAGGAAGAAGUCUAAGCUGCAUUUAAGGCACUGGCAAAAACAAGGCUCCAGGAAUUACCGGAAUACCAAUUGACAUGUUUCAACAGUUGGAUGCAACACUGGAAGCGUUCACUCAUCUAUGCCAAGAAAUCUGAAAGACAGUUAACUGGGCAAAUGACUGGAAGGGACCCAUGUUUGUGCCCAUUCCACAGAAAAUGAUCCAAGAGAAUGCAGAAAUUAUCAAAGAAUAUCACUAGUAUCACAUGCAAGUAAAAUUUUGCUGAAGGUAUUUCAAAAACAUUUGUAGCAGUAUAUCAACAGGGAACUGCCAGAAAUUCAAGCCGGAUUCACAAGAGGACAUGAACAAGAGUAUCACUGCUGAUGUCAGAUGACUCUUGGCUGAAAGCAGAGAAUACCAGAAGGAUGUUUCCCUGUGUUUUAAUGGCUAUGGAAAGGUAUUCGACUACGUGGAUCAUAACAAAUUAUGGUAAAACUGCAAAGAAUGGGAAUUCCAGAACACUUAAUUAUGCUCAUGAGGGACCUGAACAUACUCCAAGAGGCAGGUGUUCAAACAGAACAAGGGGAUACUGCAUGAUUUAAAAUCAGGAAAGGUGUGCAUCAGGGUUGUAUCCUUUCACCAUACCUAUUCAGUCUGUAUGCUGAGCAAAUAAUCUGAGAAACUGGACUAUAUGUAGAAAACAUGGCAUAAAGAUUGGAGGAAAGGCUCACUAACAACCUGUGUUACACAGACGACACAACUUUGCUUGCUGAAAGUGAAGAGGACUUGAAGCACUUACUGAUGAAGAUCAAAGACUACAGCCUUCAUUAUGGAUUACACCUCAACAUAAAGAAAACAAAAAUCCUCACAACUGGACCUAUAAGCAACACCAUGAUAAACAGAGAAAAGACUGAAGUGUUUGAAAAUUUCAUUUUACCUGGAUUCACAAUGAAUGCCCUUGGUAAAAACAGUCAAGAAAUCAAACGAUGUAUUGCAUUGGCCAAGUCUGCUGCAAAAGACCUUUUUAAAGUGUCAAAAAGCAAAGAUGUCGCUUUGAGGAACAAGGUGCACCUGAUUCAAGCCAUGGUGUUUUCAAUCGCCUCAUAAGCAUGUGAAAGCUGGACAAUGAAUAAGGGAGACCAAAGAAUUGAUGGCUUUGAAUUACGGUGUUGGUGAAGAAUAUCGAAUAUAUCACGAACUGCCAGAAGAACGAACAAAUAUGUUUUAGAAGAAGUACAGCCAGAAUGCUCAUUAAAAAUAAGGAUGGGGAGACUUGGUCUCACAUACUUUGGACAUGUUAUCAGGAGGGACCAGUCCCUAGAGAAGAACAUUACGCUUUGUAAAGCAGAUAGUCAGUGAAAAAGAGGAGGACCCUCGACGAGAUGCACUGACACACUGGCUACAACAAUGCGCUCAAACACAGCAACAACUGUGAGGAUGGCACAGGACCUAGCAGUCUUUCAUUCUGUUGUACACAGGGUCAAUAUGAAUAGGAACCAACUCAAAAGCACUUAACAACAAUCUUUGUAUCCCUACCAAAUUCCUGGUACUGUGCACAGCACAUGGAAGACAUUCAGAAAAUGUCUGCUGAAUGAAUAAGACCUGAAUCUGUAACUAAGACAGCUAAGUAAAUUUAUGUCAUCCAUUGUGCAGGGUUUCCAAAAUGUCAUUCUAAUAUUAAAAUGCUUUGGCUAUAUAUGGCUAUUUAAAGACAAAAUGAUAUUCUCCCCCACAGUUUGAGAGGGUUUUCCAUUUUGUUAACCUUUAAAUGGUUUACUGGAAGAUCUAGAAUAAGAAAACGUUAUAUAAUGAUAUUUAAAAAAAAAAAAAAAAAAUUAAUUUUCAGGAUAAUUUAGAGCCUAUUAUAAUCAUAUCUCCCCCACCCGUCUGUCAGUUUGUCGUACUGUGGCGGCUUGUGUGUUGCUGUGAUGCUGUGACGCUAUGCCACCGGUAUUCAAAUACUAGCAGGGUCACCCGUGGUAGACAGGUUUCAGCGGAGCUUCCAUACUGAGAUAGACUAGGAAGAAGGGCCCAGCAGUCUACUUCUGAAAAGAAUUAGCCAGUGAAAACCUUAUGAAUAACAGCAGAACACUGUCUGGUAUAGUGCCAGAGGAUGAGCCCCUCAGGUUGGAAGGCACUCAAAAGACGACUGGGGAAGAGCUAUCGCCUCAAAGUAGAGUCGACCUUAAUGACGUGGAUGGAGUCAAGCUUUUGGGAUCUUCAUUUGCUGAUGUGGCAUGACUCAAAAUGAGAAGAAACAGCUGCAAACAUACAUUAAUAAUCAGAACCUGGUAUGUACGAAGUAUGACUCUAGGAAAAUUGAAAACUGUCAAAAAUGAAAUGGAACUCAAACACUGAUACUCUAGGCAUUAAUGAGCUGUAAUGGACUGUUAUCGGCCAUUUUGAAUCAGAUAAUCCUAUGGUCUACUAUACCAGGAAUGACAAAUUGAAGGGGAAGGUAUUGCAUUCACUGUAAAAAAAAAAAAAGAAA